GCCGAGGUGGCUCAGCCUGGUUAGAGCGCCGGACUCAUAAUCCGGAAACAGGACCUGCAAACUGACGGAAGUCGCGGGUUCAAAACCUGAAAGGUGCUCGCCAUCGGGAGGAAAUCCCGCCCUCGGCACCA
rnacentral:tRNA from 1 species